rnacentral:rRNA from 1 species
GAUGAACGCGGCGGCGUGCCUAACACAUGCAAGUCGAGCGAGGGUUUGCUCAGUAUUGAGUAUUCUAAAACUAGAAUGUUCAAUUCUGAGCAAAACCAAGCGGCGGACGGGUGAGUAACGCGUGGGUAACCUGCCCUAUACACAUGGAUAACAUACUGAAAAGUUUACUAAUACAUGAUAAUAUAUAUUUGUGGCAUCGCAGAUAUAUCAAAGUGUUAGCGGUAUAGGAUGGACCCGCGUCUGAUUAGCUAGUUGGUGAGAUGACUGCCCACCAAGGCGACGAUCAGUAGCCGACCUGAGAGGGUGAUCGGCCACAUUGGAACUGAGACACGGUCCAAACUCCUACGGGAGGCAGCAGUGGGGAACAUUGCACAAUGGGCGAAAGCCUGAUGCAGCAACGCCGCGUGAACGAUGAAGGUCUUCGGAUCGUAAAGUUCUGUUGCAGGGAAGAUAAUGAC